CCUGCAGCCACUGCAGCCCUCCAGGACUGGGAUUGACGACUCCUGCCUUAGAUGAAUGUCACAAUCUUCUGAGUCAAGUUAUUCUAACUGAUUGUCACGUCAAUGCAACCGUGAGAUAACCAGAUGCUUCCUGAACCAAUACUGGAUGGACACAGGGAUUGGAGACUGCAGGGUUGCAUCAGGGUUUUACAGUGCUAUAUGCAAACAUGCUUACGCUAUUCAUGUACUCGACAACUUUAAAGACUCAAACCAAGCCAAAACAGUCUUCAAAGCCACUCAUAUAAUAAGGACAAAUGAGGAUUUCUAAGAAGAAUUUGGGACCAAAAUUUGGCAAGAAAUAAGGGACUGUCCCAGGAAAUACAGAAGUUUGGUCAACCUAUCUUCCUUCUACUCUUAUAUUAUUGCUGAUUUCUGAAUUGCUCAUCUCCUGAUUUAAAGGCUCCUUAAACAAUGAUUCAGAUGUUUUUUGCUCUUAUUCUGCCCAGACUAAAUCCAGAUUUGCAGAGGAACUGAAACUCAAACUGUGGUGAAAAGAAAGUGUUCCUGGUGAAGAUCCUCAAUUUUGUUCAAAGGAUUUUCAUUAAAAGAUAUAGAAUCGUUACCA